AUAAUUAAAGCUCCGGCGGUUAAAGAUGGGCAUGCGUGCCAUUAGCUAGUUGGUGAGGUAACGGCUCACCAAGGCAACGAUGGCUAGGGGUUCUGAGAGAAUUAUCCCCCACACUGGUACUGAGACACGGACCAGACUCCUACGGGAGGCAGCAGUAAGGAAUAUUGGGCAAUGGACGCAAGUCUGACCCAGCCAUGCCGCGUGCAGGAAGACAGCCCUAUGGGUUGUAAACUGCUUUUGUCAGGGAAUAAACCCCCGGAUGUAUCCGGGGCUGAAUGUACCUGAAGAAUAAGCAUCGGCUAACUCCGUGCCAGCAGCCGCGGUAAUACGGAGGAUGCGAGCGUUAUCCGGAUUCAUUGGGUUUAAAGGGUGCGCAGGCGGAUUAUUAAGUCAGUGGUGAAAUCCUACAGCUCAACUGUAGAACUGCCAUUGAUACUGAUAAUCUUGAGUGUAUAUGAAGUGGGCGGAAUGUAGCAUGUAGCGGUGAAAUGCAUAGAUAUGCUACAGAACACCAAUUGCGAAGGCAGCUCACUAAACUACAACUGACGCUCAUGCACGAAAGCGUGGGGAUCAAACA
rnacentral:rRNA from 1 species